GGUCCAAAAUCAUAGAGCCAAGAGCAGGCGAGGUGGUGGGCCUCUUAGCCGUGUGCGAUGGGCUUUUCCAUCUCACUCCUCAGUCGUCUGCUUGCUUUAUGAAUCUAGGAGGUCCCUUUCCUCAUGCUUAAGGGAGGGAGAAGAGGGAAAAAAAAAAACCACCCUAGGUCUGAGGCUUUUUCAAGUCCAACUUCAGUGGAGCCCUGAAGACAACAUCGCUUAGGAAAUUUUGCUUGGGUAGCUCAUUCUAGGGUUGGUCUUUGUAACCUGGGUGAAGUGAUAGCCUCAGCAAAUCAAGGUGAUAGAAGGAAGACAGAGGGUGGGCUGGAGAAGGGAGGGAGGAAAGGAAACGAAUGGCUUUGCCCAGGGGGGUCUCUGAGCUACCCAGUGGUCAGAGUAAGCAGAAUGGAUGCUUCUCAAGCCCUGCCCUGCUGUGAAAGGAGGAAGGGCGGAGGCCUCAUGGCUGGUGUAGGGGCAGGGUGCGUAUGGACACAUGGGGGUGGGAGGGGGCAGAGGGUUCCCCAUCCCAAUCUGUUUCCCCUCACUUUCUCUAGGUGAUGACGGUCGGUCGAUGGCACCUCACUCUUAAGGACAUUUUGACCCCUGAUCAUGUUGGGGGCGGCCCAGGAAGGAAAGAAAGCAUUUAGAAAUAGGACGACAUAGCACCUCUGCCAGUCCCCACCAUCCGUGUCUGGGCCACCCCAGACGUGGGCUGUGUCCCUAGAAAUGGGUGAGGUGAGAGCCCAGUUUCAGGCAAAGCCUAUCUUUAUGCCCCACCCAGCAUGCUCAUUGGUGGCUCAGGCACGAGGGCACUUGCUCUCCUUGGUACCUCCCCUCCCCCACCAGGUGCCAGGUGUGUUAGUUGUCAGAAGGCAAACACAGAUGUCACCAUUUUUCAGUUGUGCGGUCAUCUCUGUGAAUCUUUCUUUUUUUUUUUCCCCCUCUAACCUGCCGAGAUUCCUCUGUACAAAAAGGGAUCUACGGCUUUGAAAUGUCUUCUUUUAGGCAGACUUCCUGCCCAGCUGGGGCCCUGACACUCUCCAUUUUCAGAGCUUUCUGGAAGUCCUGCAUGCCUGUAGGAGAAAUGCAGAUACUGAACUUCCUCUGUGCCUUCCGGCAGCUGACCAUACAUUAUUUCACUGGAUUUUAGAAAAUAAUCCCAGCUUCCUUUUUUAGUGCCAACUGUAUGCAAGCGCUGCUGUAACUACCCUGUAGUGAGUCCUCAAACCACGUGCAAGCAGGGCUGAGUUUAUCUUCUUCAUGUCACAGAGAAGGAAGCUGGGGCUCAGGGAGGUCAAGUUCUUUCCUAGAAGCAGCUGGGGUCUGAACCAAGAGUUUGGGAGAGGAGCUGUGCCUUCAUCACAGGCUGGACUGCCUCUGACUUGGGGUUGCUAACCAUCUUUCCAUGCUACAUUUUGAUCCAUUCUGUCCCCUGCAUGCCAUGUGCUCGAGCACACACACACACACAUACCUGCCCCCACCCCCUCGGGAGCUAAGAAAUAGGACUAAAGCCCAGAGCUCCUAGAUUUGCCCAUGAACACAGACAUAGAUGGCUAUCUUCCCGUUCCGAUGUAAGCAGGGCCGAAACAUCUAUUUUAAAAGCACCUGCUCAUAGUCCAGAGGCCAGACCUUCUCUAGAACUUUCCACUGGUGUCAGAAUGGGAACUCAUGGGCCCUGUCUCAGGGCAAUAGGUAACCUUGGCCUUGGGUGACCAUGUGCCAGAUUGACUGCUUCCUCCUUGAAUGUGUCCUCUGACGGUUUCCACGUGCUACCCUGGAUUCCAUAUGAAGCAGGAGAUGUUGCUGGAUUCCAGCACUAAUUUCAGAGCAUGUACAGAGUCUUUCCGUAGCAUCUUCUUCUCAGCCUUUCUCCUGCUUCCUGGAGGUUGGAAGCCAACCCUGGUGUCGCGCUCCGCGUGCUUGGAGCAGGUGAGCAGGACAGCGUUGCCACGUCCUCCCCGGGGCAGAGAGCGGAGGCCUUUCUCUCUCUGUUCAAUCCUGUGGGGCUCGAUCUUUACAACACGCAUGUGCAUUUGACUGCAGAGAGCUGGGCUUGUCUAUCUAGUUGCUCCCAUUGGGUUGUGAACAUGGAACAUUGAACUCGGUGGCUCUGCACAGAAUGGCCUGUGCAGAGAAGCUGGCCGUCACUCCUGUUUGUUCUCCCCUGGGGUUGCCCUCAGCCUCCUGUGUCCUCAUGAUGCUGAGGCUGAGGGCGUGAGAGGUUCUCCCUACGGCAGCCUGACUCCUAGAGAUGGAUGUGAACGUGCAUGUCAGGUGAGGCAGGGUUCCAGGAGGCGGUGGAGGACGGAUGGGGCUUUGAAAGGUCUCGAGGCAGGGAGCUCAAGCACAAGCGGCCAGAUGUUGUGCAAAGAGGUGUGUUUUCCAGAACCAAAUCCUGCUGCGGGUCUGCACUGCAGAGGGCGCCGGUGACUGUUCUUAAACACAGAAUGUCCAGCCCCCAGUUGCCUUCUUCCCAUCCUGACGCUUGAGGCAUCUGGCAUGUGCUUCACAAAUCUUGGUUUUCUCUUCCUUUUUUCUAGCUAAUGAAUUCAUGUGUUUAAAAUGUCUUCCUUCCACAUGAGGAUUGUCUGAUGGGUUUGCUUCCGAUGCGUGGCUCCGGGGGGGAGACCAGCAGAGUAGUGACGAAGUUACCAGAAGCUGAUGAGCUGGGAGCGGGGAAAGGUCGGCAUUUCAGUAAACGCAUUUCUUCUGGAACUCACGCGCAAUGCUUUGGUCUCUUCCUUUGAAGUAGUAUUUCCUCUUCUCGUCUGGGAAUUAAAUGGAAUAGAGAGACGUGUGGGUCAGUGCAGACCCAUGAGGUGCGACCGUAAGGGCACAUGUCGAGCUUCUUGUCUUCAUACCUAGAAGAUCCAGGUGUCCCGUCUCACCCACCUUCCCUAAAAGGUGACCCUUUGUGAGACAAUGCUGAUGACUGCUGUGCUGCCCCAGUAGAAGCACUUGGCACACGCCUCUAUUAGAAUGAUGUCGGAGGGCCUAGAACAUUCCUUUCGUGAAUCUUUAGAGAUGAGAAACCGUCAUCCUCUAAGGAUAACUUUAACCUUUGGAAAUAAUCCCCAGUCAGUCACUCAUUUGGAUAAAGAAAGAUGGGAGAUUAAGGUAAGUCACAUCCAUUUAG
rnacentral:lncRNA from 1 species